UCCCUGAUGGUCAAGUGGUCAGGAUUUGGCACUUUCACUGCCAUGGCCUUGGUUUGAUUCUGGGCCAGGAAG
rnacentral:tRNA from 1 species